UCUUAGGUGGCUUAGGAGGUUAAAGCGUCUGCCUGCAACGCAGGAGACCUGGGUUUGGUCCCUGGGUUGGGAA
rnacentral:tRNA from 1 species